UCCACCUGGACGAACUUGCUGGGUUGAAUGUAUUAUAGAAUGAGGAAGACCCUCAAACGUAUCCUCUAAUUUAUUUCCAUCUCGUUGUUUUACGUAGUUGUGAAGAACACAUGAUGAUUUUACUAUAUCCACUGCGAAAUCAACACUGACGUUAAGUGGUCUAUGAAAGAUCCGCCAUUUAUUAGCUAAUAUGCCAAACGUGCAUUCAAUAUAUCGCCUCGCACGUGAUAACCGAUAGUUAAAAAUUAAUUUUUUCUCUGCUAAAUUCUUGCCACCAUAUGGACGCAUUAAAUUUUCCUGCAAGCUGAACGCUUCAUCCCCAAUAAACACAUUCGGUAAUAAAGGUCCAUUUUGUGAUAUUGUAGAAGGUGGAGGUAUAUUUAACUUUUUUUCUUGUAACAUUUUAUAUAGACAACUCUCUUCGAAAAUAGUCGAGUCAGCGUGUCUUCCAUAUGAGCCUAUAUCCACGAAAGUGAACAUAUAAAGCCUUAUUAAUAGAGCAACCGAAAGUAGGGUUUUAGUAUGCUACUAACUAGUAGCCACUAACAGUCGACUAAAGCUUCUUAUUAAUAGUGCAUAAAUUAGAAGGUACUACUUAGUAAGAUGUUAGUUGCAAUAUGCGAAUGGCAACGCGGCACUGAUGCCCAGUUGCACCGUUUUUUACUUAAGAAAUUCUUUAGUAAGUAGUUCUUACAUUUAAGUAGUUCUUAAAUAUUGGGUACGUUGCACCAACCACAUUUGAUAAAUUCUUACCUAAGAAUCGCUUAAGAAUUUGUAUACAUGGCAACAGUGUAAUAAUUUAGUGAAUUUGGUUUUAUUUGUAUAUUUUAACAGAACCUCACUUUACUGCUAAAAUAUAAACAAGUGAUAUCGAUUUAAAGGUGCUCUAUUUUUAUCGUACCUAUUUAAAAAUGGAAAACGAUGUAAGUGUUUUACAAUAUUUGAAUGGUUUACAAUCAUCUGCUGACCCUUAUUUUUGUAGGACUUGUCUCAGAAAAAUAAGAGUCGCACCCCUAAUUUUACUGGGAGCGAGAAACAGUUACUAUUCAGUAUCAUCCACAAAUACAAAGAAAUAAUAGAGAACAAGAAGACUGAUGGCGUUACCAAUGAAGAGAAAGUAAGGACUUGGGACAAAGUUGUUUCCGAGUUUAAUACCAGUUGUCCAGAACGUCAUCGGUCGUUGCAGUCUUUAAAAAAACUCUAUUACAACAAAAAGAAAGAGAUACGGAAGUCGGUGGCAGAAGAAACUAAGGAACGAUAUUUAACAGGUGUGGUGUUAUUUUAUUAUUUCUUCCUAAUCAUCAUAUUUUGAUAAAAGAUUAAUCGUAGUCAACUUUAUUUAAGGAGGGGGUGUGAUGAAGAUUCCCAAACCAUGCCCUGAUAAGGACUUGGUGUUGAGUAUAAUGAACGAAAAAACAACAUACGGUUUUAAUACUGAAUUUGAUUCCGACUUUGUUAAUUUGGUAAAGAAAAAAACCACAAGUAUAUUAUUUAUAUAAUGCCUACUGUCUUCAUGAAAUAACUUUAAUAAAUCUCAAUUUAUAGUGCGAGGUAUUGCCUGUAAAUGGAACAGCGAGAAAACCUACACAAAAUUCAUUGUUGUCUCCUGCUAUUGUAGAAGUAAUUGAAGAAGAUGACUGCAAUCUGUCUACAGAUUUCCCAAAUGAUGAGAUCAAAGGAGCUGUGGAGAACCUUUAUACACCUUCCACAUCCGGUAAACAAAAUGUGGAAUAUGACCAACCUUCUAAAAAGAGAAAAUUUAGUGCAAGUAGAAGACGUCCUGCAACGGUUGUGAAGGCUCUAACUUCAUCUGCACUUGGGGAAAAGUACAACAAAUUAGUUGACUACAGGUUAGCUAUAGCGGAAGCAGAGAUGAAGUGGCAAUCCGAGCAUCAUGCUCUGCAGCGAGAAUCAAUACUUCUGGAUAUUCAAAUA